rnacentral:rRNA from 1 species
AUACGAGUUUGAUCCUGGCUCAGGAUGAACGCUAGCGGCAGGCCUAAUACAUGCAAGUCGAACGGAUAUAUGUUUUUCGGAAUAUAUAUUAGUGGCGCACGGGUGAGUAACACGUACAUAACUUGCCCUCAAGCGGGGGAUAGCCUUGGGAAACUGAGAGUAAUACCCCAUAGAAUUAUUGGACGGCAUCGUUUGAUAAUUAAAACUACGGUGCUUGGGGAUAGAUGUGCGUCUGAUUAGCUAGUUGGUGAGGUAACUGCUCACCAAGGCGACGAUCAGUAGGGGGGCGUGAGAGCGUGGCCCCCCACACGGGUACUGAGACACGGACCCGACUCCUACGGGAGGCAGCAGUAAGGAAUAUUGGUCAAUGGAGGGAACCCUGAACCAGCCAUGCCGCGUGAAGGAUGACGGCCCUCUGGGUUGUAAACUUCUUUUGGAUGGGGCGAAAAAACGGGAUUUAUCCUGGACUGACGGUACCAUCAGAAUAAGCACCGGCUAACUCCGUG